rnacentral:rRNA from 1 species
UAGCGAAGGGGGCUAGCGUUGUCCGGAAUCAUUGGGCGUAAAGCGCGUGUAGGCGGUCCGGUAAGUCCGCUGUGAAAGUCGGGGGGCUCAACCCUCGGAUGCCGGUGGAUACUGUCGGGCUUGAGUACGGGAAGAGGCGAGUGGAAUUCCUGGUGUAGCGGUGAAAUGCGCAGAUAUCAGGAGGAACACCAAUUGCGAAGGCAGCUCGCUGGGACGUUACUGACGCUGAGACGCGAAAGCGUGGGGAGCAAACAGG